rnacentral:rRNA from 1 species
UACGUAGGGUGCAAGCGUUGUCCGGAAUUAUUGGGCGUAAAGAGCUCGUAGGCGGCUAGUCACGUCGGAUGUGAAAACCCGAGGCUCAACCUCGGGCCUGCAUUCGAUACGGGCUGGCUAGAGUACUGCAGGGGAGACUGGAAUUCCUGGUGUAGCGGUGAAAUACGCAGAUAUCAGGAGGAACACCGGUGGCGAAGGCGGGUCUCUGGGCAUUAACUGACGCUGGAGGAGCGAAAAGCAUGGGGAGCGAACAGG